AUUGAACGCUGGCGGCAGGCCUAACACAUGCAAGUCGAGCGGAGCGGCGGACGGGAGAGUAAUGCCUAGGAAUCUGCCUGGUAGUGGGGGAUAACGUCCGGAAACGGGCGCUAAUACCGCAUACUAUCAGAUGAGCAUAGGUCGGAUUAGAGAGUUGGAGGGGUGAAGCCCUCCCAAGGCGACGUUCCGUAACUGGUCUGAUAGGAUGAUCAGUCACACUGGAACUGAGACACGGCCCAAACUCCUACGGGAGGCAGCAGUGGGGGAUAUUGCACAAUGGGCGAAAGCCUGAUGCAGCGACGCCGCGUGGGGGAUGAAGGCUUUCGGGUUGUAAACCUCUUUCGCUAUCGAACGGGUAGGUGGAGAAGAAGCGCCGGCGAACUACGUGCCAGCAGCCGCGGUAAUU
rnacentral:rRNA from 1 species